rnacentral:misc_RNA from 1 species
GAUGAAGAACGUAGCGAAAUGCGAUAAGUAAUGUGAAUUGCAGAAUUCAGUGAAUCAUCGAAUGUUUGAACGCACAUUGCGCCCGCCAGUAUUCUGGCGGGCAUGCCUGUUCGAGCGUCAUUUCAACCAUCAAGCCCCCGGGCUUGUGUUGGGGACCUGCGGCUGCCGCAGGCCCUGAAAACCAGUGGCGGGCUCGCUAGUCACUCCGAGCGUAGUAGUUACAUCUCGCUCAGGGCGUGCUGCGGGUUCCGGCCGUUAAAAGCCUUUUACCCCAAGGUUGACCUCGGAUCAGGUAGGAAGACCCGCUGAACUUAAGCAUAUCAAUAAGCGGAGGA